AUUGAACGCUGGCGGCAGGCCUAACACAUGCAAGUCGAGCGGAUGAAGGGAGCUUGCUCCUGGAUUCAGCGGCGGACGGGUGAGUAAUGCCUAGGAAUCUGCCUGGUAGUGGGGGAUAACGUCCGGAAACGGGCGCUAAUACCGCAUACGUCCUGAGGGAGAAAGUGGGGGAUCUUCAGACCUCACGCUAUCAGAUGAGCCUAGGUCGGAUUAGCUAGUUGGUGGGGUAAAGGCCUACCAAGGCGACGAUCCGUAACUGGUCUGAGAGGAUGAUCAGUCACACUGGAACUGAGACACGGUCCAGACUCCUACGGGAGGCAGCAGUGGGGAAUAUUGGACAAAGGGCGAAAGCCUGAUCCAGCCAUGCCGCGUGUGUGAAGGAGGUCUUCGGAUUGUAAAGCACUUUAAGUUGGGAGGAAGGGCAGUAAGUUAAUACCUUGCUGUUUUGACGUUACCAACAGAAUAAGCACCGGCUAACUUCGUG
rnacentral:rRNA from 1 species